rnacentral:rRNA from 1 species
UGGGGAAUAUUGCACAAUGGGCGCAAGCCUGAUGCAGCAACGCCGCGUGAGGGACGACGGCCUUCGGGUUGUAAACCUCUUUUAGUAGGGAAGAAGCGAAAGUGACGGUACCUGCAGAAAAAGCACCGGCUAACUACGUGCCAGCAGCCGCGGUAAUACGUAGGGUGCGAGCGUUGUCCGGAAUUAUUGGGCGUAAAGAGCUCGUAGGCGGUCUGUCGCGUCUGCUGUGAAAACCCGAGGCUCAACCUCGGGCCUGCAGUGGGUACGGGCAGACUAGAGUGCGGUAGGGGAGAAUGGAAUUCCUGGUGUAGCGGUGGAAUGCGCAGAUAUCAGGAGGAACACCGAUGGCGAAGGCAGUUCUCUGGGCCGUAACUGACGCUGAGGAGCGAAAGCGUGGGGAGCGAACAGGAUUAGAUACCCUGGUAGUCCACGCCGUAAACGUUGGGCGCUAGAUGUGGGGACCAUUCCACGGUUUCCGUGUCGCAGCU